CGUUCGCCAUGCUUCUCGCCCCGUUUCUUCAGCCUAUAUCUCUAUCGACGAUCUCUCGGUUGUCGUCGUCGUCGUCGUCGAUGAUCUUUACGCGUCUACCUGUCGACGUGGACAGCAGGUCGUCGACUAUACUUUCGACCGAUCGGAAUUAAUCGGAAUCGUUCGUUCUUGCUCGCGAUCCACAGACACCAGAGGCUAGACGCGACGAGCGCCCGCGAUGUAUCCUUUUUGUGUAGAGACUGCACACGGCGGCGUCUAGGGACAGCUAGAAGUCUCGAGUCUCAUUUCUUUGAAUCGAUGGCAUAAAGGUAUUUGUUUUUCAGCCAGUCUUCUACGUAAUAUUAGGCGCGACGAGGCACCCACUGCAUUACAUUGACAUACUGUGUGUGUAGGAAAGCACGGGUAUCGACGAUGGGGUACGUACGAGGGAACAGAUGGGCGGGCGCACACACUCACGGAAUUGUGUGUAGUAAAGCGCGGCGACGGCGGAAGCGAUCCAAGCCAUAAAACACGGAGAGGAUGCGGAGCUUUAUUUUAUUUCAUUCAAUUCUUCACGGGCGACGUCGCGCCGCGGGAAUAUGGAAUCGAGUUGUUACCCGGUGGUGGACGACGAGACAGGGGGUAGCGAAUUUCCAACCGCUUACCGCGACCAUGGUGGACUGGUGGUUCGGGCCGCAGCCGUUGUACACGAGCUGCUGGGGUCGUCACGAGAGGAGAGGAUGAAAUAUUCAAGCGCUUUCCAUUAACGGACCGGUUUAUACUUAUCGAGGAUAAAGUCAAAGGGGUUCUCGCGGUCGGUCACGCUUCCGCUACGAAAUAAAGGGUAGCUUUGUCGUUGCCCCUUCAGUCACUGUACUAUAUACGCAGUUUGAUACAGCAUUGGUCGAGAAGAAGAAGAAGAAGAAGAAGAAGAAGAAGAACAACAACAACAACAACAACAAGGCGUACUGCUUGAAACUGGUUGAAGCCGAAUUUGAACGGUGCGUGGAACGGUAGAGGCGCGGAAGAAAAGAGGCGAAACGAAUGAUGGAGGGAGGGAG